rnacentral:rRNA from 1 species
UCGGGAAUAUUGCACAAUGGAGGAAACUCUGAUGCAGUGACGCCGCGUGCAGGAAGAAGGUUUUCGGAUUGUAAACUGCUUUAGACAGGGAAGAACAAGGACAGUACCUGUAGAAUAAGCUCCGGCUAACUACGUGCCAGCAGCCGCGGUAAUACGUAGGGAGCGAGCGUUAUCCGGAUUUAUUGGGUGUAAAGGGUGCGUAGACGGGUAUAUAAGUUAGUUGUGAAAUCCCUCGGCUCAACUGAGGAACUGCAACUAAAACUGUAAAUCUUGAGUGCGGGAGAGGAAAGUGGAAUUCCUAGUGUAGCGGUGAAAUGCGUAGAUAUUAGGAGGAACACCAGUGGCGAAGGCGACUUUCUGGACCGUAACUGACGUUGAGGCACGAAAGUGUGGGGAGCAAACAGG